rnacentral:misc_RNA from 1 species
AAUUCUCAACCCCCCUGUUUUGUAAUGAAAUAGGCUUGUGGGCUUGGAUUAUGGCUGGCUGUCGGCUCACCACGAGUCGGCUCGGCUGAAAUACACGAGCAACCCAGCUGAAACGGUGACGGCUUGACUCGGCGUAAUAAUAAUAUUUCGCUGAGGACGUCCACUGAACGUUUCAAGCAGUGGUGCUGCUAACGCAAUAUUCAUCUUAAGC